AGAAUCAACGCUGGCGGCGUGCCUAACACAUGCAAGUCGAUCGAGAAAGUGGAGCAAUCCAUGAGUAAAGAGGCGCACGGGUGAGUAACACGUGACUAACCUACCUUCGAGUGGGGAAUAACCUGGGGAAACCCGGGCUAAUACCGCAUAAUACCUACGGGUCAAAGGAGCAAUUCGCUUGAAGAGGGGGUCGCGGCAGAUUAGUUAGUUGGCGGGGUAAUGGCCCACCAAGACGAUGAUCUGUAUCCGGCCUGAGAGGGCGCACGGACACACUGGAACUGAAACACGGUCCAGACUCCUACGGGAGGCAGCAGUGGGGAAUUUUGCGCAAUGGGGGAAACCCUGACGCAGCAACGCCGCGUGGAGGAUGAAGUCCCUUGGGACGUAAACUCCUUUCGACCGGGACGAUUAUGACGGUACCGGAUGAAGAGCCCCGGCUAACUUCGCGCCAGCAGCCGC
rnacentral:rRNA from 1 species